rnacentral:rRNA from 1 species
CCUGUUUAACAAAAACAUGUCUUUUUGAGUUAUUUUUAAAGUCUGACCUGCCCACUGAAGUUAUUUAAAUGGCCGCAGUAUUCUAACUGUGCAAAGGUAGCAUAAUCAUUAGUCUUUUAAUUGAAGGCUGGUAUGAACGGUUGGACGAGGUAUAAGCUGUUUCAUAUAAAUUUAUAGUAGAAUUUUAUAUUUUAGUUAAAAAGCUAAAAUAUAAUUAAAAGACGAGAAGACCCUAUAAAUCUUUAUACUUUGUGUUGUUUAAGUUUUUUAGAUUUAUUUUAUUUUUAUAGUUUAAAGUAUUUUGUUGGGGUGAUAUUAAAAUUUAAUGAACUUUUAAUUAUUUAAAAUCAUUAAUUUAUGAAUUAUUGAUCCGUUAAUAGUGAUUAUAAGAUUAAGUUACUUUAGGGAUAACAGCGUAAUUUUUUUGGAGAGUUCUUAUCKAUAAAAAAGUUUGCGACCUCGAUGUUGGAUUAAGAUAUAUUUUUAGGUGUAGCCGCUUAAAU